rnacentral:tRNA from 1 species
GCUCGUGUAGCUCAGUGGUUAGAGCUUCGUGCUUAUAACGCGACCGUCGUGGGUUCAAUCCCCACCUCGAGCACCA